rnacentral:rRNA from 1 species
UACGUAGGGUGCGAGCGUUAAUCGGAAUUACUGGGCGUAAAGUGUGCGCAGGCGGCCGAGCAAGUCGAGUGUGAAAGCCCCGAGCUUAACUUGGGAACUGCGCUCGAAACUACUUGGCUAGAGUGUGGCAGAGGGGGGUGGAAUUCCACGUGUAGCGGUGAAAUGCGUAGAGAUGUGGAGGAACACCGAUGGCGAAGGCAGCCUCCUGGGCCAACACUGACGCUCAUGCACGAAAGCGUGGGGAGCAAACAGG